rnacentral:rRNA from 1 species
UGGGGAAUUUUGCACAAUGGGGGAAACCCUGAUGCAGCGACGCCGCGUGAUUUAGAAGGCCUUCGGGUUGUAAAAAUCUUUUCUAUGGGAAGAAAAUGACAGUACCAUAGGAAUAAGGACCGGCUAAUUACGUGCCAGCAGCCGCGGUAAUACGUAAGGUCCGAGCGUUGUCCGGAAUCAUUGGGCGUAAAGGGUACGUAGGCGGGUAAGAAAGUUAGAAGUGAAAUCCUAUAGCUCAACUAUAGUAAGCUUUUAAAACUGCUCAUCUUUAGGUAUGGAAGGGAAAGUGGACUUCCUAGUGUAGCGCUGAAAUGCGCAGAUAUUAGGAGGAAUACCGGUGGCGAAGGCGACUUUCUGGCCAUAACCUGACGCUGAGGUACGAAAGCGUGCGUAGCAAACAGG